rnacentral:tRNA from 1 species
GGAGAGAUGGCAGAGUGGCCGAAUGCGGCAGCUUGCUAAGCUGUUGAGCUGAUUUGUCAGCUCCGAGGGUUCAAAUCCCUCUCUCUCCGCCA